rfam:Trichosporon asahii var. asahii CBS 8904 unplaced genomic scaffold scaffold00049, whole genome shotgun sequence.
GGCGAGAUGGCCGAGCGGUCUAAGGCGCUGUGUUAAGGUGACUCCUAUCAUCUCCGCAGUCUUCGGACGUGGGUUCGAAUCCCACUCUCGUCA